rnacentral:rRNA from 1 species
AUGUGUGUGCUCUGGAGCUUCACUUAUGAACUAAACCUGCACAACAUGAGCCUUCUCCUUGCCUUGGAGCUGCUGCUCUUUCUGCUAGCCUUGCCACGCCUUACUUCUUCCUCAAAGUCCACGCAUUCGUCACUGGAUCGGCAGGCUGAGGCACUUCUCCAAUGGAAAUCUAGCCUAUACAAUUGGGACUAUGAUCUGGGCUCUUGGAGAAAGGAAACGAGCCCCUGUAGCUGGAUGGGCGUUGACUGCAGCAACACUGUGCCUCAUGGCCGUGACCAGGGUGAUGCUGCCCUAGUUGUGUCCAACAUUUUGCUUGCACACUGUGGCCUUCAAGGCAGGCUAGACAGCCUCCACUUUGCAGAUUUGUCCCAUCUUGUCUAUCUGAACCUUAGCACCAACUCUCUCUCGGGCCCAAUCCCAUCAAGCAUCGGUGCUCUUGCCAAGCUCACUCACUUGGAUCUAUCCAACAAUGGCCUGAAUGGAUCCAUUCCAACAUUCCUAGACUUACCCAAUCUUGUCUAUUUGGAUCUCAGUGGCAACGCUCUCUCGGGCCCAAUCCCAGCAUCGAUAGGUGAUUGUUCUAAACUAACUUUUCUCGAUCUGUCGUACAAUGUUUUGUCCAAAGGAUCCAUUGGAAGCAUAGGAAAUCUGGCGAGUUUGCAAUACCUAUAUCUUUCUAAAAAUCAAAUAAAUGGUUCCAUCCCUUCAACCUUCUCGAAAUUGGUCUCUCUAGAAGAGCUGGCACUUCAUUCCAACCAGCUAGAUGGCCAAUUACCACUAGAAUUAGGAUCUCUUGUUGUUCUCUCACAUCUGGAUCUAAGGAGGAAUCAAUUUGUAGGAAAUAUUCCACCUCAGAUAGGACAGUGUAGCUCUUUGUCAUAUUUAUCCAUACCAGACAACUUAUUGACAGGAGAAAUACCACAACAACUCGGGGAUCUUGCUAACCUUAUUGAGCUGGAUUUGAGUAGAAACAAUUUAAGUGGUGCCAUCCCAGCGACUUUUUCUAAUCUUCACAGACUGUCUACACUGAAUUUGUCAUAUAACAGUUUGGCUGGCAAAGUUCCUUCUAUCGAUGCAUCUUCUGUCUCACUUGACGGUAAUAUGGAUUUAUGCGGCGAUUGGUAUGACAUACCUCUAUGUGAAACACACCAAAGAAGAAUACAUCCAAGUAUGGUAUUUCUUGCUUUUGCUCCCUUCCCCCUCGCCUGCCUCACAAUAGCAAGCAUUAUGGUCGUUUCUUGGAGAAGAAAACAAGAAAAUGCUACUAUCAAAAGAAAGUCUGGAGAUAUGCUUUCCAUAUGGAAUUUUGAUGGAAAGAUCGCAUUUGAAGACAUCCUCAGUGCAACAGAAAAUUUUAAUGAGAAAUUUUGCAUCGGUGUUGGAGGAUACGGAUCGGUCUUCAGAGUUCAGCUUGUAGGAGGAAUUAUCUUUGCCGUCAAGCUCCUUCACUCAGUGGAAAAAUUCAGUGAUGAGGAGACAUUUCACGCUGAGAUUGAAGUGCUCACAAAAAUCAGGCACCGAAGCAUCGUCAGGCUAUAUGGUUUUUGUUCCCACUCCCAAUGCAAAUUCCUUGUGUACGAUCUUAUUGAGAGGGGAAGCCUAUCAUCUAUUUUGCAUGAGCAAGAGCUAGCAAAGGAGCUGGAUUGGGCAAAGAGAAUUGUUGUUGUGACGGACAUAGCUCAAGCUCUCUCCUACUUGCACCAUGAUUGA